AAUUUCUAUAACGUUAUUCAUUCCUGAGAUCGCGGGUGGUGGAUUUCCUUCCGAUAUGAUUAAUAAUUCUAAUGAUAUAUAUAUAUAUCGAACGAUAUCAGUUAUGAAGUAUUAGUACUUACUCAGAAUGUUGAGCGUCAAGUAUUUGAUUCCAGUAUUUUUACUUUUUAUAACACUAGCGUUAGUGUACGAAGCCUCUGGGGAUCCUAUGUUUAUACCCGAUAAUCAUCGAUACCGAUGCAGACCAGGUACAAGAUUCUUACUGGGGAGAUGCAGAAAAAUGGUAUUCGGUACACAAUAAUCAUCCCAUAUCAUACUGGAAAGGCAUCAACCAAUUUACAGUAUUUUAAGUAAAUGUGUCCCGUUUUAUGAAUAAUAAAGUUUCUAUUUAAGCAAU